rnacentral:rRNA from 1 species
GUGAACGCUGGCGGUAGGCCUAACACAUGCCAGUCGAACGGCAGCACCGUAAGAGCUUGCUCUUACGGGUGGCGAGUGGCGGACGGGUGAGGAAUACAUCGGAAUCUACUUUUUCGUGGGGGAUAACGUAGGGAAACUUACGCUAAUACCGCAUACGACCUACGGGUGAAAGCAGGGGAUCUUCGGACCUUGCGCGAUUGAAUGAGCCGAUGUCGGAUUAGCUAGUUGGCGGGGUAAAGGCCCACCAAGGCGACGAUCCGUAGCUGGUCUGAGAGGAUGAUCAGCCACACUGGAACUGAGACACGGUCCAGACUCCUACGGGAGGCAGCAGUGGGGAAUAUAGGACAAUGGGCGCAAGCCUGAUCCAGCCAUACCGCGUGGGUGAAGAAGGCCUUCGGGUUGUAAAGCCCUUUUGUUGGGAAAGAAAAGCAGCAGGUUAAUACCCCGCUGUUCUGACGGUACCCAAAGAAUAAGCACCGGCUAACUUCGUG